rnacentral:rRNA from 1 species
AGGUGAAAGGGAAUCUGGUUUCAAUUCCAGAACCCGGUAUCGGAACCGCUCUUUUCAAUGCAUUCCUUGUGGGUGCAUUGUCGGGGUAACCCAAAAAGACCCGGAGAAGCCGUUAGAACCCUCAGGAAGAGUUUUCUUUUCUGCAUGAGCAACUAAGCGCCCUGGAAUUCCUUCACGGAGAGAUAGGGUCAAGGUUGCGAAGAGCGUCGCAGUUAUUGUGACGUCUGAGGUGUUUAACCGGACCUUGAAAAUCUGGGAGAGGGACACGGGAGCGUCGUACCGGUUCGUACCCAUAUC